rnacentral:rRNA from 1 species
UACGGAGGAGGCAAGCGUUAUCCGGAAUUAUUGGGCGUAAAGCGUCCGCAGGUGGCUAUUCAAGUCUGCGGUCAAAGACUGGGGCUUAACCCUGGAAAGGCCGUGGAAACUGAAGAGCUAGAGUGCAGUAGGGGUAGAGGGAAUUCCCGGUGUAGCGGUGAAAUGCGUAGAGCUCGGGAAGAACAUCGGUGGCGAAAGCGCUCUGCUGGGCCGACACUGACACUGAGAGACGAAAGCUAGGGGAGCGAAUGGG